CUGAGGGUAAUUUUGUCCUUGUAAAAUGAACUAGGAAGCGUUUUCUUUUUUUCUAGUUCCUAGCUGUCCACAGUAGUCACAGAUGGGAGCAAUGAAAACAACUGGUUACACUCAGUUCUUUACAACACUUGAACCUGAACCUCCAUCAGUCCCAUAGACCCCAGAUGAGCAAGGCAUAUUUUGGGAUCUGAGAGUCUCAGCUGUCUCCAGCCAAAAAGAAGAUGUAUAUCUGCAGCUUGAAAUUAUGAGUCUAUUUGAAAACAUCUAACAGUAAUGAGACCGAUUACCAGAGGGGAAAAAUCACCAUCAAUUCUU
ensembl:lncRNA